CAGUCGCCACGGUAAUACGAAGGUCCCGAGCGUUGUUCGGAAUCACUGGGCGUAAAGGGAGCGUAGGCGGCGUGGUAAGUCAGAUGUGAAAUCCCGGGGCUCAACCCCGGAACUGCAUCCGAUACUGCCAUGCUAGAGGAUUGGAGAGGUAGCUGGAAUUCUUGGUGUAGCAGUGAAAUGCGUGGAGAUCAAGAGGAACACUCGUGGCGAAAGCGAGCUACUGGGCAAUAACUGACGCUGAGGCUCGAAGGCCAGGGUAGCGAAAGGGAUUAGAUACCCCUGUAGUCCCUGUCUCUUAUAC
rnacentral:rRNA from 1 species